rnacentral:rRNA from 1 species
UACAGAGGUCUCGAGCGUUGUUCGGAUUCAUUGGGCGUAAAGGGUGCGUAGGUGGCGAUGUAAGUCUGGUGUGAAAUUUCGGGGCUCAACCUCGAAACUGCAUUGGAUACUGCGUUGCUAGAGGAUUGUAGAGGAGAGUGGAAUUCACGGUGUAGCAGUGAAAUGCGUAGAUAUCGUGAGGAAGACCAGUUGCGAAGGCGACUCUCUGGGCAAUUCCCGACACUGGAGGCACGAAAGGCUAAGGGGAGCAAACGGG